rfam:Yersinia kristensenii ATCC 33638 contig00461, whole genome shotgun sequence.
CCCCGUGUUGUUUUGCUGCAAGGCAAUACGGGGACUCAUUCAGUCCGCAACGAGGGUCCGCUCGUG